GAAUUUCAAUGUGUUUCAAUUUUUUUGCAAGUUCAAAAACUCAGACGAUAGAUAAUUGUCGUACAAAAAUACGAAAAUUAAAGAUCAAAAUCUUAGAAAUUUGUCGAGCUCAGACUACAUUUUUAUGUCGUCUGAACAACUUGAAAAUCUCAAAUUGUAAGAGAGGGAAAGAUACCGCGCUUAUUAACACUUAGCCAAAUCUAGGAGGGAAAGAUACAGUUGCGUUAGCCCCAAAACUGAAAACCAAUUUAACCAACAAAAAAAAAGAAAAUGAAAACCUACCACGCACUCGCAUCGAUCAAAACAGAAAACCCAUGCCAUUUGGUCAAAACAGAAAACCAAUUUGCUCAAAAACCAAUUUCCCUCCCGAUUCACUCAAAUCCAUUUCGCUCAAAUCACUUAAAACUCUAAUUCACUCUCAGCCUAACCUUCUCUCGAUCUCUCUCUCAGCCUAUACAUUGAAAGAUGAACCACGAACUCAGAAAGAUGAACCUAAGUGACAAUCUGGGUUAGCUAUUUCGAUUUGGGUUUAGCGAUUUUGUCACUUCUGUGCUCAGUCUGUCUCGCAAAGGAAGUUUGAGGUUGUUUAUGCUCAUUCUAAGUGACAAUUUGGUAAGCCUCUCUCACUCGAUGGGAGUUGUUUAUGGUUCUAGAGUUUACGAAUUGGGAGUUUUUUAAUUUUCGAUUUGGUUUUUGAAUUGGGGGUUUGGUUAGUUUUCAAUUUGGGUUGUUUAGUUUUCGAUUUCGGUUUUGGUUUUCAUAGUGUUAUUGAAAGGAUUGAGAAAUAUGUAUACCUUACCCUCUGUCAUGAGCCGCUUGACUUUGUAUAGGUCCGAGAAUAUUAAACUCAAGAUGACAUUUUAUAAAAUAUGAGAACAGAUAAUUUGGUGGAUAUACGUGUUAGGUUGAAGAAAAUGGAGGGAUUUAAGGUGACAAAGAUGGGAGGUUCUGGUUCUCUAUUUUCUGUUUACUUC
rnacentral:lncRNA from 1 species